AAGUCGUAACAAGGUUUCCGUCAGGCUGAACCUGCGGAAGGGAUCAUUUAAAGAGUUAGGGGUCUCACAGGCCCGACCUCCAACCCUUUGUUGUUAUAACUAAAUCUGGUUGCUUUGGCGGGACCGCUCGGUCUCGAGCUGCUGGUCUUCGGCCCGGCAAGCUGCCCGCCAGAGUCUACUGCAAACUCUUGUUUUAACCGGUCGUCUGAGUUAAAUUUUUCGAAUAAAUCAAAA
rnacentral:misc_RNA from 1 species